UUCUGGUUAACACAGUAGGUAGAGUGCUGCACUGGAAAUGGAGAGAUCCCUGGUUCGAUACCAGGACCAGUCG
rnacentral:tRNA from 1 species